UUUUCCUGUCACUUGGCCUCUGGUUAUUGUCCUGGGUGUAAUGGAGUGGAAAACUCUCUACACAGCUCCCUCUGACAGGGAAUUUCUAAUCUCAGAAAACUUAAUGGUUUUUGUCAACCUGAUUGUCCAGCGAGAGCGGAUUAGGGGAAUGACUUCCCUUGUCACUGGAAAGUUGACUCGCUUCACGGCAUUUUUCCUGGUGCCAGUGGGAGGCAUGAUCGAUACAAGACAGACCCAAAUACUUACCUGUGGUCUCGGGGCUGAGGACAAAGGUUGGGAGUUCCAUUUAAGUGCCUUCAGCCAUUUCCAAGUGGACGGGCGUGAUGUGCAUUUAGCGGUUCAGGCUGGUGACCCGAGCGAGCUCUGCAGUCUGGGAGCAUGCUGGCAAUCAAGUGUCUCCUACACAGCGGAGCAGAGGCCUCCAGGCUCAGUGAAGGAGGUGAAAUUUGUCAAUGUACUUAAGGGUCAGCUGCCCUGAACCACUUCCCGGCCAAGUUCCAUGUCCUGCUUAAGGGCUGGAGAGAUGGCUCAGCAGUUAAGAGCACUUGCUGCUCUUACAGAAGAUCCUGGUUCAGUUUCCAGCACCCUUAUGAUAGCGUAAAGCCAUUCGCCAUGAUUCCAGUCCUAAGGAACUUGAUGCCUUCUUCUGAUCUCUGAGGGUACCAGACAUGUACUUGGUGCACAGAUAUAUACACAGGCAAAACAUUUACACACAUAAAAAUAAAAUAAAAUUCUUUCCUGACAAAAAA